rnacentral:rRNA from 1 species
AUGCCUGUACCAUAACCGACACAGGUGGGUAGGUAGAGUAUACUAAGGGGCGCGAGAUAACUCUCUCUAAGGAACUCGGCAAAAUGACUCCGUAACUUCGGGAGAAGGAGUGCCUUAUUUAUAAGGUUGCAAUAACAAGAUCCAAGCAACUGUUUAUCAAAAACACAGGUCUCCGCUAAGUCGUAAGACGAUGUAUGGGGGCUGACGCCUGCCCAGUGCCAGAAGGUUAAAGAAGUUGGUUAGUGUAUGCGAAGCUGAUGACUGAAGCCCUGGUGAACGGCGGCCGUAACAAUAACGGUCCUAAGGUAGCGAAAUUCCUUGUCGGGUAAGUUCCGACCCGCACGAAAGGCGUAAUGAUUUGGAUACUGUCUCGGAGAGAGGCUCGGUGAAAUAGACUUGUCUGUGAAGAUGCGGACUACCUGCACCAGGACAGAAAGACCCUAUGAAGCUUUACUGUAACUUGAAAUUGGAAUUGGACUUUGCUUGCGCAGUAUAGGUGGGAAGCGUUGAAGAUAUUCUUGCGGGAGUAUUGGAGCUAUCAGUGAGAUACCACUCUUGUAAUGUUAGAUUUCUAACUUUGAACCAUAAUCUGGUCAAAGAACAGUUUCAGGUGGGCAGUUUGACUGGGGCGGUCGCCUCCCAAAUGGUAACGGAGGCGUACAAAGGUUUCCUCUGAACGGAUAGAAAUCGUAUCUAGAGUGUAAAGGCAUAAGGAAGCUUGACUGUGAGACCUACAAGUCGAGCAGGGACGAGAGUCGGUCUUAGUGAUCUGACGGUACUGAGUGGAAAGGCCGUCACUCAACGGAUAAAAGUUACUCUAGGGAUAACAGGCUGAUCUCCCCCAAGAGUUCACAUCGACGGGGAGGUUUGGCACCUCGAUGUCGGCUCAUCGCAUCCUGGGGCGGUAGUACGUCCCAAGGGUUGGGCUGUUCGCCCAUGAAAGCGGUACGCGAGCUGGGUUCAGAACGUCGUGAGACAGUUCGGUCCAUAUCCGGUGUAGGCGUUAGAAUAUUGAGGGGAGCCUUCUUUAGUACGAGAGGACCGAGAAGGACACACCGCUGGUGUACCAGUUAUCGUGCCAACGGUAAACGCUGGGUAGCUAUGUGUGGAGUGGAUAACCGCUGAAAGCAUCUAAGUGGGAAGCCCACCUCAAGAUGAGUGCUCUCACAGGGUUAACCUGGUAAGGUCACGGGAAGACCACCCGUUAAUAGGCACUAGGUGGAAGUCCAGUAAUGGAUGGAGCCAAGGUGUAC